UUGACAAAAAAGAAGGUGGGGAAAGACCCGAAAGAAUUCAGGUGUGUCUGACUUGCGGUUAGAACUACCCACUGAAAUGCAUAGAAUUGUAUAAAAUAUUGUAUAGAAGAAAAGAGGCUGUAUCAAACUACCGAUAUUUAAUAUUUUUUUUUAAUUUUGCAAGAUUCGUACAUAUACAAUAUUUUAAUACUAGUGUUUCCAAAGAUGGUUUAUUCAAGUUUUUCAUGGCAAUGCAGUGUUGGUGAUACAGAAUGAGACUUGAGUUUAAAAUAUGUCUGCCUUGAGCAAGUGCAGGUCUGUGUCCCUCCUGACCGAAUCAUCUGACGAGCAUAAACAAAUAACCACUAAACCUACUGCUGCCCCUCGUCAGCGGAGUCCAAUGACAUAUCUAGCCCUUUAUCAUUCAUUACACAAUACAACUGAGAUCGGCUGUUUUAAUAACGGUGUGUGGAUUUGUGGGGGGUCGUCAGAAGGCAGGGUCAGGACACAAGCUGCCAUGAAAACUUAUUGGUGUUCCUUAAAAAGAAAAAGCAACAAAUCCAACAUUUGGAACAGACGGCAUCUUGAGGAGAGAAGAAGAAAGUCAAUAAGAAAUAAAACUAACCCAGUGGACUCAGUAAAGCCAAGAGGGCAGAAAUGACGUCUAAUGUUGAAACCGAGGAUGAGACCAUCAGUGGAAAGUCAGGAAACCCUCACGCUUUGAAAGUGACAGGGAAAGACCAGACCUUGACCACGAUGAAGACGAUUCGGACAGCUUGGUGUCAAAAAUAAGUCAAUAAGAAACCAACCUGCACCCCCCAGCAUCAACGCCACGAGCGCCUCAGUGUAAACACGGAACAUGAUGCGUUUCAUCUAGAUUGUUGCUGUGUGAAUCGCAUCCUGAAGGGAAAACAUUGGAGUUCACUUUGAGUGUCUUAUCUGAUGAUAAAUUAUAAGACGCUAUUGCAAUCUCUAUUUGGUUUGGAAGGAAUACCAAGGUUGCAGAUAUCGUAAAGUACAGAUCAUUUUGUGUACGUGGACGGCGGCUUCCAUGUUUCCCUGUUUAGAAUUCAGGAAGUACUCAAAUGUUAAGAUCGGUAUCUCUUCAUCAAAGGAGUCCUGCCUCAGAGAGACCACGGCAUGCAGUUAAAACACAAUGAAGCAGCAUGUUUUGAUGCAGGAGUGGCUAACGAUUGCUCAACAUGCUUGCAUUUCCUUUACAUAUUGAAUUCUGUUGGCAAAUCUUGUGCGUAGCCUCUUGAGUGGGUAAUACAGGGAACGAAGGCAUUGUAUUAUCUUGUAAAUGGUGUAGACUGAUUUGGCCUUUGCUUGUGUUUGAAAACCAUUUUUUUCUGUCUGAAAGGUGAGAUAUUGGUAUAUUGGUAGUGAUGGAGUUUUUUUCUUUGGUGUAGUACACCUCUUGGUGAUUCGAGUGUCCUAGUACGCAGAAGCAGGUCACCUCAGUGAACUCCAAGCAUGAGGCUAUGCAGUUUGUCACCCACAAACAGAACCGUUACAAAUUUACUGAGCUUACUCCCGUGUUGACUCAGGAGAGACGCAGACAGGCGUGCACGUCCUCCGAAGCGUGUGCCGUCAGCCAGCCUGUCUUCGUACUGCGAGUCGACAGCGAAGCCAGCCAGACCGUUCGUGUCACAGGAAACGAAGUUCUGCUGACAACUCAGCCAACCUGCAGGCGCCCGGGCCGGCACAGGAGGCGCUGGUGAGCGACGAGACAAGGAUUACCCGGCUGACUUCAAUCCUUCCCACCCAGCCUAGGAGGCGAUGGCACAGCCUGGAUUGGAACCAGCGAUCGCCACACAGGGAGCUCCCUGCAAUUCAGCUUCUCCAACACCACUACUGAUUUGUAGCAGGAAAAGGUCAAGGGGCUUGCGUUUACCGUCUGCUUGUAUCCUUGAGAUCAUUUCUCCAGUGAGUGAGAGGUACAAGUUUCACACCCACCACACGGCAAAUCAAUGUGCUGAAAGUCCAAACGUCUUGUGUGGUGAAGAAGGAGGAGGGAGUUUAGCUGCCUGUCAACCUUGAGCAAGGACGACACUCUUGGGAUGACAGAACAGCGCUCCUAAUGAGAGUGAGGUCAUCGCUUUACACGUGGUGCGGCACAUCUCCACUCUGGCACGCACUUGCCAAUUCUUCCUGAGCAACAUCCGAAGAAUCCGACCCUUCCUCACCAACUAUGCUACCCAGUUCCUGGUCCAGGCCCUGGUACUCUCCCGCCUAGACUACUGCAACUCCCUCCUGGCUGGCCUCCCUGCGUCCGCCACCCGUCCGCUCCAGCUCAUCCAGAACUCUGCUGCCCGCCUGGUGUUCUCUCUGCCUCGCUUCGCCCACGCUACUCCACUACUCCGCUCGCUCCACUGGCUCCCGAUCACCGCUCGCAUCCAGUUCAAGACUCUUGUACUAGCCUACAGAUGUCUUGACCAGACUGAACCCAGCUACCUCCAGACCCUCAUCUCUCCCUACACCCCCACUCGACUUCUCCGCUCCGCCUGCACUAGAAGACUGGCUCUACCUCCGCUACGCUCCCCUGCCGCCAGAGCCCGCUCCUUCUCCACCCUUGCUUCGCACUGGUGGAACGACCUUCCUACUGAUGUCAGGACUGCCCAGUCCCUGACCACAUUCCGGCGCCUCCUUAAGACUCAUCUCUUCAGACAGCGCCUGUAGAACUCCUCUGUUUGUAUCCUGGGACACUAUCACCCUUCAUUUAGAUGUGCUUUAUUUUGCUCUUAUCUGCCCCCUAUUUUACUGCUCUUAAUCCUGUACUUCAGAAUACUGUAAUCUGCCAAGUGUUUAACCUGUAGUACUUUGUAUUAAUCACAUCCUGAUGUAACUGUCACUAUUUAAUCAUAUCCUGAUGUAACUAUCACUAUUAUCUGCUGUAUUAUUGAAUUGUGGUUUGUCACACUUGUACUUUGCUUGAACAAAGUUAUUGUAUUUCUUGCUCUUAUUUUAUUACUUGUAUUGUAACACUUGAAAUGUAUUUGCUUACGAUUGUAAGUCGCCCUGGAUAAGGGCGUCUGCUAAGAA